CGGCGCGGUUUUAAGCAUGCAAGUCGAGCGGUAGUAGCAAUACGAGAGCGGCGGACGGGUGAGUAACACGUGGGUAAUCUGCCCUUCGGCGGGAAUAGCCUGUGGAAACACAGGAUAAUACCGGAUGCGAUGGUCUUCACACAAGUGGAGGUCAGGAAGGAGCCAAGGCUCCGCCGGAGGAUGAGCCCGCGUCCCAUUAGCUAGAUGGUGAGGUAAAGGCCCACCAUGGCGAUGAUGGGUAGCCGGCCUGAGAGGGUGAACGGCCACAUUGGAACUGAGACACGGUCCAGACUCCUACGGGAGGCAGCAGCUAAGAAUCUUCCACAAUGGACGAAAGUCUGAUGGAGCGACGCCGCGUGGGCGAAUGAAGGCCGUGAGGUUGUAAAGCCCUUUUCUUGAGGGGGAAUAAUGCGGGCAGGGAAUGGCCUGCAGAUGACGUGAAUCAAGGAAUAAGCCCCGGCUAACUACGUGCCAGCCGCGGC
rnacentral:rRNA from 1 species